UACGUAGGGUGCAAGCGUUGUCCGGAAUUAUUGGGCGUAAAGAGCUCGUAGGCGGUCUGUUACGUCGGCUGUGAAAACCUGGGGCUCAACCCCGGGCCCUGCAACCGAUACGGGCAGACUAGAGUUCGGCAGGGGAGACUGGAAUUCCUGGUGUAGCGGUGAAAUGCGCAGAUAUCAGGAGGAACACCGGUGGCGAAGGCGGAUCUCUG
rnacentral:rRNA from 1 species